rnacentral:tRNA from 1 species
GCACUAGUAGCUCAGAAAAGAGCAUUGGUCUUGUAAACCAAAGGUCGGAGAAUUAGCCCUCCCUACUGCU